ACCUGGCUGGUUCAGUUGGUAGAGCACUCGACUCUUGAUCUGGGGGUUGUGAGUUUGAGCCCCAUGUUGGGUG
rnacentral:tRNA from 1 species